rnacentral:rRNA from 1 species
GAUGAACGCUGGCGGCGUGCUUAACACAUGCAAGUCGAACGAUGAAGCCCAGCUUGCUGGGUGGAUUAGUGGCGAACGGGUGAGUAACACGUGAGUAACCUGCCCUUAACUCUGGGAUAAGCCUGGGAAACUGGGUCUAAUACCGGAUAGGAGCGUCCACCGCAUGGUGGGUGUUGGAAAGAUUUAUCGGUUUUGGAUGGACUCGCGGCCUAUCAGCUUGUUGGUGAGGUAAUGGCUCACCAAGGCGACGACGGGUAGCCGGCCUGAGAGGGUGACCGGCCACACUGGGACUGAGACACGGCCCAGACUCCUACGGGAGGCAGCAGUGGGGAAUAUUGCACAAUGGGCGCAAGCCUGAUGCAGCGACGCCGCGUGAGGGAUGACGGCCUUCGGGUUGUAAACCU